AGGAGUGGAGAAGCGAUUUAACCUUUAAGUACAAAUAACUAACAGGGUACAAAAAGGCAAGAAAACAUGACAAAAUGAAAGGAUUAUUGAUGGACAAUAAAGGAAGCGUAGUAGGUUUACCUUGAGAAUUCACUGAGCUAAUAUACUGGCUCCCAUUUCUAUGUUUAUUGUAGGAAAAAGAGAAAAACACUAACCCAGGGAUAGUGCUGACUAGGGAUGCCCAAGUCAAAAAGACAUUGUAGCACUGGGCUUGGCAGAGUGUCCUGAAGCUAAAUGCAGAAGACUGCGGGAAACGUCUUCAACUGGGGCUAAAGGUCAUAAGCAAGGACAAUGAACCUGGAAUUUAGAGGAAUUCAUACUCCAGUGAAGAAUUUCCAGACCCCUCAUGAAAACAGCAGAUUGCCAACUCACCAGAUAAUACUCAAGCUGAAACUAAGCCGCCCCUGGAAAGUAAGCAAAUGAUUAGAAGGGUGGAUUUCAGGCAAGCAAAAGGUGAGAGCCCAGAAUCUCCAUGUGAAUGAUCCUAAAAUUACAGCUAAUAUAGAAAGUGGCUUCCUUGUACCUUUAGAAAUUGAACUCUCAGAACCUGACUGACAGUCUGCUCUUAAGAACAUUAGCUCAAUCUGGAGAGAAAUGUAUGUUUCCAGCUGGCUCGAAAAGUUCUUCUCCUAUAUGGAUUUUAGGUAGAAGCAGAAGGAGGCUUAGAGAUUCUUCAUCAUAACUUGCCAAAAUGAAAAAGAACUGUGAAAAGAAAAUGGACACUUCUUCAGGCAUUGGAAAGCUCCCAAGAUGGUGAGAGAUUGUGCAGCCAAGACCCUGGAGAAGAAAAAUGCCAUAGAAUUGAACUUGACAUUUGGAGACACUUCAAUCCCUAGAGGUGCCAUCAA